rnacentral:lncRNA from 1 species
GCUGUGGCUUGCCUUUUCACUUCUUGUGUCCUGUUUAAGAAAUAUCUGCUAUCCCAAGAUUGCAAACUCCUAGAGAAGGGCUCAACAGUGAGUGUUGAGGCUGCACAGAGGAGGAAGGUAGCACAAUGAUGGAAGGCUUCCUAAAGAGAUAACACUAACAAAGUUGACCUUAGAAUUGGAGUGCCCGGGUUAGAACCUUGCUGGUACCACCUGCUUACUGCAUGCUUCUGAUGUGAGUUCAGGAGAAGCCACUGGCAAGGACAGCAAAGAACAGGAGAACACUCUAGCUUCCCUGAUAGCAUUCAAGGUGCUGUCCAAAGCUCUUGAGUUUCUGCUUUCAAGUGACCCUCAGAAAUGCCCCCAUUCACUGCAGAGGUUCUGUUUCUCCUUGUUUUGUUCCGACUUUAUGGCAGAACUAGGUUAAUGAGUUAAUUACUAUGAGUUAUCACUUGGAUUUGAAGAACCAUCAUUUCUAGGCUUUGCUGCUCAGAGUGGGUUUGCCCUCAGGGGAAGCUAUCUAACCAGAGCCUAACCCACUAGGGUUUUAUCAGAACCUAACUGGCCUGAGGAAAAGAAAUAUUCAACUCCAGCAAGCUCCAGCCUUCCAAACGGAGGAGGAGAAAACCCAAAUCCAGCCCACUUCAGCUAUCUUGUCCCACAUAAAGGGGGAGUGGAAGAAACGUGAGAAGCAGGCAUGAAGUUCACAGUCCGGAGGUACAGACACAUCAGAGUUCAGUAUCUGAUGAAUUAGAUGCAAAAUCCUCAACAAAGUAUUAGCAAAUUGAAUUCAACAAUGUAUGAAAAUUAUUACAUGCCAUGACUAAUUGGAAUUUAUCUCAGGUAUACAAGCCAUGCUGAACAUCUGAAAAUCAAUUCAUGUGAUCCAUCACAUUAGCAGAUUCAAGAAAAAAAAAACCACAUUAUCAUAUCAGUAGAUGUAGAAAAAAAAAAUUAACAAAA